rnacentral:rRNA from 1 species
UACGUAGGCAGCGAGCGUUGUUCGGAAUUAUUGGGCGUAAAGAGCUCGUAGGCGGUUUGUUGCGUCGGCUGUGAAAUCCCGAGGCUCAACCUCGGGUCUGCAGUCGAUACGAGCAAACUAGAGUGUUGCAGGGGAGACUGGAAUUCCUGGUGUAGCGGUGAAAUGCGCAGAUAUCAGGAAGAACACCGGUGGCGAAGGCGGCCCACUGGUCCGGUACUGACGCUGAGGUGCGAAAGCGUGGGGAGCAAACAGG